UGAUACGCAGGUACGUAACCAAGAUCACUGUACCUGCAGUUGAGUAUGUGUCGGUGUACCUGCAUUCGGUGGUACGAAGAGGAAGCAAGACGUACAAGGCCGGAUCAACAAGGUCCUGGCCUGGGUUGCUAUAACGGUUUGGCGGCACAUGCCUUUGAAGCUGCCACUGCCAAAACAUGAAUGGCUGGGUGGAUCUCAGUUGUCGGUGGAAGAUCCAACUUAUAGGCCGAUCCGCCAAUCCUCUUAAACGGGCCAAAAUAUCUGUACAAGCGCUUCUGGUUUCAUCUUGCUGCAAAAGAAGCCUGAAUGGAAGGCUCAAGCUCCACCACCUUAAAUUCCCUCUCGGGGCUUCAUUCUGUGGCUGGAUGGAUGACUCGAUUCAGAAGCUGUCUUUCAUUCAAAGCUUUACCUAG
rnacentral:lncRNA from 7 species